CAGUAGCCACGGUAAUACGGAGGGUGCAAGCGUUAAUCGGAAUUACUGGGCGUAAAGCGCGCGUAGGCGGUUACUCAAGUCAGAGGUGAAAGCCCGGGGCUCAACCCCGGAACUGCCUUUGAAACUAGGUAACUAGAAUCUUGGAGAGGUCAGUGGAAUUCCGAGUGUAGAGGUGAAAUUCGUAGAUAUUCGGAAGAACACCAGUGGCGAAGGCGACUGACUGGACAAGUAUUGACGCUGAGGUGCGAAAGCGUGGGGAGCAAACAGGAUUAGAUACCCCCGUAGUCCCUGUCUCUUAUAC
rnacentral:rRNA from 1 species